AUAGAUGUCCAUUCGGGCCGCCCGGCCCGGUCCGGCACGGGCCCGGCAUGGCCCGUUCGUUUUCGUGCCGGGCCUGGCCCGUCACGAUAACACCCUCGUGCCGGGCCGGGCCAGCCCACAGGCCGUAGGGGCGGCCCAUGCACGGGCCCGUGAGGUCUUUUUCGUGCCGGGCCGGCCCGAAGGGCCCGUCCUUUUUUACGGGUCGGGCCAGCCCACAGCCCAUAUUCGACACAACACAACACACAAUCACAAAAUCACAAAAUCACAGACACAGACACAAUCACAAUUCAUUUGAGCUGUUAACAUGGAAUCACAGACACAACACACAAUCACAAAAUCACAGACACAAUCACAAAAUCACAGACAUUCAUCACAUGGAAUUAUUAGAGCUGUUUAACACUUGAUCUGUGUGAUCAAG
rnacentral:lncRNA from 1 species